UACGAGAGGCCCAAACGUUAUUCGGAUUUACUGGGCUUAAAGAGUUCGUAGGCGGCGCGGAAAGUAGGGUGUGAAAGCCCUCGGCUCAACCGAGGAAUUGCGUUCUAAACUACCGUGCUUGAGGAACCUAGAGGUGAGCAGAACUGAUGGUGGAGCGGUGAAAUGCGUUGAUAUCAUCAGGAAUACCGGAGGCGAAGGCGGCUCACUGGGGGUUAUCUGACGCUGAGGAACGAAAGCCAGGGGAGCAAACGGG
rnacentral:rRNA from 1 species